ensembl:snoRNA
GGUCAGUGGUGAGUGUUGGCAUGUAUCAUCUGACCUAGAGUUGAUGUCUGUCACCACUUUAGCUCUAGAAUUACUCAGAGACCAG